rnacentral:lncRNA from 1 species
AUGAGUGUGAAUGAUGAACACACCAGACCCUUCGGGACCAGCAUUAAAGAUGGCUGUAAGGAAAUCAGGAACAACAACAGACAUACAGAAGAUUCCCUAGAUGGUGAUGCCAAUGCUAAUGAAAUCCAAAGAGGAGAUGAAGGAACAACUUUGGAGGCAACUGAAACCCUGUCCUCUGUGGUAUCUCACACUGAGGAACAGGUGAAGAUGAUUAUCCAGGGCACAGAUUCCCCAUGUGAUGACCCAGAGUUAGCUGAGUUUGAGAUGCUGGAAAGUCAGGAACUAGUGGAUGACGAAGAGAGCAGUAUUCCUAAAGGAGAUGUCAGGGGUGCUCUAUCCACCAAUAUAAUGCAGACUGAAGCAAUGUCUCCGAAGGUAGAAGGUAAAAGGUUCUCCCAGUUAAUUUCAAAGGAGCAAGCUACUGUUUGUCCUAAGUCCACUAGCAAAGAAAUGGUGACCAGCAUAGCAAGGACUGAGUUUAGCUCUGAAAAUGAUGUUUUUGUCUCUUGCCUCUCCACAAUGUCUAGUCUUGGAGGAAGUCUUGCUAGUGCCCUGGACAAUGCAGGUCGAACCCAAAGCUCUGAUUCGUGGCAUGCUCCCUCAGGGCCAUACCGAACUCUCUCUGAGGACCUUACCCUUGCCUCACAGUCCUGUUUAACUAUUUCAGAUAAAAGCCGGAGCUCUGUACAUACUGACGGCAUGCAUCAUCAAGCAGGAAAAAGUACAAUGCACAUCUACAGUGUUGAUCUCAAUCUUAACUCUACCACAUUGCCUGAGGAACCCCUUUUAGAAGCACAAGAAAACCAACCAGCUACAGACUUUGUAAUAUAUGAGAGCUCAGGUCAACUGACAAAUGGCAUGAGUGAUUGUAGCAUUGCAAGUAUCAAGAAGGUCCCUAAUAAAUCAGGAAGUACCAGUCAGGACAAUCUAGGAGAAUCUGGAGUUCAUGUAAAGGAGUACCAUGGAACCGAAGACAAGGCUCCAAAUUUAAAAACAAUAUCAACUGAGAAGAAACAUUGCCAACAUCUUGUCUCAGAAAACACACAGUCUGCUUCACAGAACAGAAGGUUCUCUCAUGAUUCCGCUGCUGAAUCUCAUAAAAUUGCUCUUAGAACCUCAAAACUAACCUCAAAGGAUACACCUGUACACUCUGGUGGUUCUGAACCCCAACCAUAUAAGAAGCAAUCUUCUUUUGAAAAGACCCGAAGUUCUAGUGCAUCAAGUUUGGAAAGGCGAAGACCUUGGGGCAGCCCAUCUCGCCCUGAGACCCCUCCAUCCCCUAAGACCACCUGUUCCCCUCGGAAACAGCCUCCUUCAUCACCAGCCAAACCUAUUAGCACAAGAGAAGCAAGUCAGGAACUAAAUGAAACCUUACAGAGGGGAACAACUGGUUUGAGGCAACCAAGUAAAAGUUUUCUCAGUAGUAGUAGCAGUCUCCCAAAACCUGCUGUUCCUCAACAACCCACUAGAGCUGAGUUUGAAUCUAAGAAGUCUUCUCCACCUCAGAAGCCCAAAAAUGUUCGACCAAAAAUCAUAACAUAUGUCCGCAAAAGCCCUCAAGCAAAACCAAUGUCUGAAGGUCCCUAUGAAGUAUCGACGUUACCGCCAAGACUUACACCUUACAGUAGCUCACCAACCUCAAAAGAGUCUAAGGCCGAGGGGUCCAGAGGUUCACCUGUGCUGAGCUCCACUAAUAUCCUUUAUGACAAGUAUUGUCAGGAAGGACAGAGGUCAGGGCACUACUCCCCUCCAGGACUGAUGGCGUCUGGGAUCAGGCCACCUAGCCACACUGUCCCCCAUAAACUGGUGGGCAAAUCAGAGAGUUUCCACGGGGAACUGCCAGAU